GGUUUUUUGAGAAUAAUUUAAGAUUUAAUCUGCCCACUGAGGUAUUAAAGGGCCGCAGUAAUUUGACUGUGCAAAGGUAGCAUAAUAAUUAGUUUUUUAAUUGAAAGCUAGCAUGAAUGAUUGGACAAGAAUAAAGUUGUCUUUAUUUAAAUUAUUUAGAAUUUAAUUUUUAAGUGAAAAAGCUUAAAUAUUAAUUAAAGACGAGAAGACCCUAUAGAGUUUUAUAUAAAUAAAUUUAUUUAUUAAUAAGAAUAAUUUAGUAAAUAAAUAUUAUAUAUUUAAUUGGGGUGAUUUAAAAAUUUGAUAAACUUUUUAUAAAUUUAACAAUAAUUUUUGAUUAUAUGAUCCUUAUUUAAGAUUAUAAGAUUAAAUUACCUUAGGGAUAACAGCGUAAUUUUUUUAGAGAGUUCAUAUUAAUAAGAAAGUUUGCGACCUCGAUGUUGGAUUAAGAUAAAUUUUUAAUGAAGAAGUUAAAAAAAUUAAGUCUGUUCGACUUUUAAAAUCUUACA
rnacentral:rRNA from 1 species